AAAGUCGUAACAAGGUUUCCGUAGGUGAACCUGCGGAAGGAUCAUUCAUAAUAAGUGUUUUAUGGCACUUUUUAAAUCCAUAUCCACCUUGUGUGCAAUGUCGGCCGAUCUUUCUUUUUUGGAAGAUCAGCCAAACAUCAACUUAUUUUUUAACUCUUUGUCUGAAAAAUAUUAUGAAUAAACAAUUCAAAAUACAACUUUCAACAACGGAUCUCUUGGCUCUC
rnacentral:misc_RNA from 1 species